UUUUUCCUACGGGGGGCAGCAGUGAGGAAUAUUGGUCAAUGGACGAGAGUCUGAACCAGCCAAGUAGCGUGAAGGAUGACUGCCCUAUGGGUUGUAAACUUCUUUUAUAAAGGAAUAAAACGAGGCACGUGUGCCUUUUUGCAUGUACUUUAUGAAUAAGGAUCGGCUAACUCCGUGCCAGCAGCCGCGGUAAUACGGAGGAUCCGGGCGUUAUCCGGAUUUAUUGGGUUUAAAGGGAGCGUAGAUGGGUUGUUAAGUCAGUUGUGAAAGUUUGCGGCUUAACCGUAGAAUUGCAAGUGAUACUG
rnacentral:rRNA from 1 species